UACGUAGGCAGCGAGCGUUGUUCGGAGUUACUGGGCGUAAAGGGUGUGUAGGCGGUUGUUUAAGUUUGGUGUGAAAUCUCCCGGCUCAACUGGGAGGGUGCGCCGAAUACUGAAUGACUUGGAGUGCGGGAGAGGUGAGUGGAAUUCCUGGUGUAGCGGUGAAAUGCGUAGAUAUCAGGAGGAACACCGGUGGUGUAGACGGCUCACUGGACCGUAACUGACGCUGAGACACGAAAAGCGUGGGGUAGCAAACAGG
rnacentral:rRNA from 1 species